GCAUCGGUGGGGUAUUGGAAACCCGCAGCCAGUGGAUACUGUGCCAGCCGUACAGGGUUAUGGCUGAGCUCGGGGUUCGACUCCCCGUCGAUGCG